UACGUAGGGCGCGAGCGUUGUCCGGAAUUAUUGGGCGUAAAGAGCUCGUAGGUGGCUUGUUGCGUCUGCCGUGAAAGCCCGUGGCUUAACUACGGGUCUGCGGUGGAUACGGGCAGGCUAGAGGCUGGUAGGGGCAAGCGGAAUUCCUGGUGUAGCGGUGAAAUGCGCAGAUAUCAGGAAGAACACCAAUGGCGAAGGCAGCUCUCUGGGACGGUACUGACGCUGAGACGCGAAAGCGUGGGGAGCGAACAGG
rnacentral:rRNA from 1 species